ensembl:rRNA 5S_rRNA 5S ribosomal RNA
GUCUACGGCCAUGCCACCCUGAAUGCCCCCGAUCUCGUCUGAUCUGGGAAGCCAAGCAGGGUCGGGCCUGGUUAGUACUUGGAUGGGAGAUAUGAUAGCACAAUACAGACAAAAAAUGAGCAAAUCCUGGACU